rnacentral:rRNA from 1 species
GAAAUGAAUCUUAGUUCUCCCUUGAUUCUCCUCCCCGGACAUCCUACCUUAACCCCUAUGAAGUGAAUCAAGAGUAAUUUAAAGGAGGUACAGCUCCUUUAAAAAAGAAUACAACCUCCACUAGCGGAUAACCUCCCAAACUUCUCCUUAAAUUGUAGGCCCUUAAGCAGCCACCAAUAAAGAGUGCGUCAAAGCUCCACAUACAAAAAUCCAACAACAAUACGACUCCCUCCCUAUUAACAGGCCAACCUAUAUCAAUAGGAGCAUUAAUGCUAAAAUGAGUAACUAGGGACCUCCCUCCUAAGCGCAAACUUACACUAUCAUAUUAUUAACAGACAAUAAGCCAAUAUCUCAACUACAACAAGACUAAAAUAUUAGACCUACUCUGUUACCCCAACUAAGGAGCGCCCAUUAGAAAGAUUAAAAUCUGUAAAAGGAACUAGGCAAACCUAAGGCCCGACUGUUUACCAAAAACAUAGCCUUCAGCCCGCCAAGUAUUGAAGGUGAUGCCUGCCCAGUGACGCAACGUUUAACGGCCGCGGUAUCCUAACCGUGCGAAGGUAGCGCAAUCAAUUGUCCCAUAAAUCGAGACUUGUAUGAAUGGCUAAACGAGGUCUUAACUGUCUCUUACAGAUAAUCAGUGAAAUUGAUCUCCCUGUACAAAAGCAGGAAUUCGAACAUAAGACGAGAAGACCCUGUGGAACUUAAAAAUCAACGGUCACUACAUACAGAUUUAAACCUACUAGGCUCAUUAUCCCUAAAUGUUUGACCCGUAUUUUUCGGUUGGGGCGACCUUGGAGAAAAACAAACCCUCCAAAAAUAAGACUACCCCUCUUAACCAAGAGCAACUCCUCAACGUACUAAUAGUAACCAGACCCAAUUCAAUUGAUUAAUGGACCAAGCUACCCCAGGGAUAACAGCGCAAUCUCCUCUAAGAGCCCACAUCGACGAGGAGGUUUACGACCUCGAUGUUGGAUCAGGACAUCCUGAUGGUGCAGCCGCUA